GGGGUCGUGUGCUAACCUGGUAUGCUACAGCCUUCGGGAGGCUGUGAUCUGAGUUCGAAUCUCGGCGACCCCA
rnacentral:tRNA from 1 species